CCUACGGGUGGCAGCAGUGGGGAAUAUUGCACAAUGGGGGAAACCCUGAUGCAGCGACGCCGCGUGAGUGAAGAAGUAUCUCGGUACGUAAAGCUCUAUCAGCAGGGAAGAAAAUGACGGUACCUGACUAAGAAGACGCGGCUAACAACGAGCCAGCAGCAGCGGUAAUACGUAGGGGGCAAGCGUUAUCCGGAUUUACUGGGUGUAAAGGGAGCGUAGACGGCAGCACAAGUCUGGAGUGAAAUCACUGGGCUUAACCCCAGAACUGCUGUGGAAACUGGGCGGCGAGAGUGGAGGAGGGGUAAGGGGAAUUACUAGUGUAGCGGUGAAAUGCGUAGAUAUUAGGAGGAACACUGGUGGCGAAGGCGGCUUACUGGACUAUAACUGACGUUGAGGCUCGAAAGCGUGGGGAGCAAACAGGAUUAGAUACCCUUGUAGUC
rnacentral:rRNA from 1 species